AUGGAAAACCGGUGGGCGAGAGUCCUUGCGAGCUUGAGUGUCCGCCGCGAGCUGCAGCAUGGAGCAGACUUUGGCAAAGGUUGGAGGAGGCCGCAUCAUGGGGAUGAAGGAGGCCUGCUUGUCCAAAUCCUCGCUCGGCCCGACAACGAUGAUGUUGAUGAGCUAUGUGUCGCUGUCGGGAUCACCGAGUUCGCGAAGCUCAUCGCAAAUGGUCUUGACACGCUGGCAGAAAAGAUUUACCGGGGCAUUGCCUUGGGUCAGGUUACGAAGCUCGGUGUGCAGAGCGCUCUUCCGAGCGUCGCUGUUGCUCUCAAAAAGCUGGCGAAGAGAGCCCCAUAUGUUGGCGGCGGUGGCGCCGUCGUGAUCAAGCAUGUUGAAGAUCUCGGUGGUGAUGCGGGUGUAGAAUCACUGAACAAUCGCGAGAUCGUCUUUCACCCAUUGAGGAUCAUGAGGGAGAGGAGGACUGUUGGCGGUGAUGUGAGAGCGGAGGCUGCAGCGUCCUAG
rnacentral:rRNA from 1 species